rnacentral:rRNA from 1 species
UGGGGAAUAUUGCGCAAUGGAGGGAACUCUGACGCAGCAACGCCGCGUGAAGGAUGAAGGCUUUCGGGUUGUAAACUUCUUUGAUCGGGGACGAAGAUGACGGUACCCGAGGAACAAGCCACGGCUAACUACGUGCCAGCAGCCGCGGUAAUACGUAGGGGGCGAGCGUUGUCCGGAAUGACUGGGCGUAAAGGGCGCGUAGACGGCUUUUUAAGUCUGGAGUGAAAGGCCUGCUUUCAAGGUGGGAAGUGCUUUGGAGACUGGAAGGCUUGAGUGCGGAAGAGGUAAGUGGAAUUCCCAGUGUAGCGGUGAAAUGCGUAGAGAUUGGGAAGAACACCAGUGGCGAAGGCGACUUACUGGGCCGUAACUGACGUUGAUGCGCGAAAGCGUGGGGAGCGAACAGG